rnacentral:tRNA from 1 species
CAGGUAGGGUGGCCGAGCAGGUGGCAAGUUGUAAACUUGUUUACGGGGCAACAACCCCCCCCCAGCCC